CCACAGCUCUUAGUAGUAAAGAAUAGGUCAAUGAAGACUCAACCAGGCCAAAGACGUCUAAAGGUCAAAUCACGGCAACUGGACCAAGUUUUGUUAAUCUGAGACAUUUCUCUGCUCAUCCAAGCAACUUCAUCAGUCAGAAAAAAAUUAGGCAGGGAGUCAAAAAGUCAUUGGAAUGUACCAACUCUUGACACGCCAACUUCAGGGAUUUCUCCACAAAUGUAUUGCAAUAUGUCAAUGAAGACUCAAUCAUGCAGAUCAAAGGUGUUUAAAGCCCAAAAGAAAAAGGAAAUAGUACCUUCUAUCUCAUCAGAUGAUGACCUCUCCCAUCAGGAUGUCACACUGUACCUAACUAAACGAAAACAAAAUUGGCUUCAGCCAUUGUGAAGUCAUGUGGAAUUUCAUAUACGGUAGUAAGUUCUGGUGAAACAGCACAGGAUCAGCAAGGAACAUUCUCUCUAUUCAGUUCCUGGUAGGCUACCCAUCGAAGUGAAUAAAGCUUUUUCUAACCCCAAACCAA